GAGAAAGAAAAGUAAGAUUAAAAUACUGGAUGCUGAGAUGGCGGAUAAUGAUUGGCUACGUGGACAGGAUAUUCGGUCCACGUCAGAAAAGGUGGCGGGACUUUCGGAACCUAGUUGAGGAGAUUGGGACGGUCGAGUCAGCACUCGGCAGAUGGUAAUAAUAAUAAUACUAACAAUAAUAAGGGACGGGUCAUUGAUGACUCAGCUGUCAGAAGCAAUAGAUCUCAGCCGUGGGUUCCUCUGUGUGUCCACAACUUCUAUUUUGUGGUGGUGGAGUCAUAGGGAUGGUUUCGCCAUUCAGAUUUCGACACGCGGUUACACCUCAUUGCGUCUCUCAUCAACAUGGUGCCACCAUUUCUAGGUGCUUCUCGUAUUGAUUUGAAUACUCGGUACUGUAUCUGUGGGGGCUAACCCUCUGGCCCCACCACCAACAUAGGGUAUCCUCCCGAACAAGGCCACUCUCCUGUCUUUUGCCAUCCUCACACGUGUCCUACAGUCUAUGAUCCAAAACUCUUGUAAAUAAAUCAAAAUUCGCAAAGAAAUGCGUCACUAUGCUUAUCUCUUUUUUUAUAUCAACCUCAUUGUCCACGAGGCUCACGUACCAUGAAUUAUGAUUGCCUAUUACUUUUUAUGUAAUUAAGGUGGAGUUUCCGAGGGUUUUAUUGGUAAAUAGGAUUGAUGUUGAUGGACGAGUCAGUGGGAGCCCUCAGGGCUCCACCACCAUGAGCCCACUCUGGAAUAUGCCUAAGAUAAACUAUUGGACAAGAGGUGACGGAUGGGUUUUUGAGUUCCAUUUUUUGGGGUCAGUGUUAGGUGGGUCAUCAUUGCUUAGACAUAGACUUAAGGUCCUUAUUAAGUCAGGAUUUAUUUAAAUGUUGCAGUUCAAUGAUUCUCAUUGGGAGUUUGAUCACCCAUAAUUUCAUUUCAUUUCAUGAAUUAAUUAAUUAAAAUAGAUGAAAUCAUUUAGAUUGCAUCUUUGAAUUUGAGCUCUCUAAAAGCUAUAAAAAUACACCCACUAAUUCAGGUACUUUAACCAAUAAGUUAUCUUGAAGGACAUUUCUAUGGCUUUUCUAAUUAAUAAGCUCCACAAAAUUGGACAGUUGUAACCAUUUUCAAAAAUCCUAAAGCUGAUUGUGAGAAGGUGCUUUUGUUAACUCCUAAUCUAGGGAUUCUAGACACCUUUUGGGGUUCCUCUUUUCAUACUCACAAAAUUUCUCUUCUAAAUAUGAUUCUUGCUUGAGGUGCUUGGAUUGUUUAUUUCUAGAUGGGAUUGUUGCAUUGGGAAGCCUUUAUCUUGAGGAAUUCUCAUUCAAGGUAUACAUUAUUUCCUCACAAUUCUGGCUUUUCCAUAAUUAUACUAGUAAUUAAUUAUUCAUAAUCGACCAAAACCCAUUUACGUUAAAGUAUGUUGAACCUUUUUAAUCACUUGUCGCAUCCAUUCAAGGAAAAUGAAGGUUUGAGUUAGAAAGCAUCUGAUUGAGACCUUUGAACAAAACAAAAGCCUACCAAGGAAGAGGUUCCUUGUCCAUUUGCCAUAACAUCAUAUCAAAAAGAUGAGUCAUCUCAUCUCAUAGUAAUAUUUAUAAUUUUAUUUUCUCCCACACAUUUGAUUGGGUCAUUUGGUGUGGGGGUGUCUUUACUUUUCUUCAAAAAAAAAAAAAAAAUCAAAAUUUUUUUUUUAUGGACACUAGAACAAUAUAUUAGACAAAAUGAAUGGUGAUAAAAGAAGAGGGCCUUGUAUUUGUAACUAUCAAUAAGAGAAGAAAGCUUGUAACAUUGGUGAAACGUUUACGUGUAUAAAUAGUACAAGAAAGAGAGGAGUGAACGAUAUGGAAAGACCCAUCCUGAAUAAUUGUACCAAAAAAGUCAAUUGACUUGCUCUAUUAUUGGCUUGGCUGCUUCUAAUGAAUGGACUGGGUUACAUUCUAAUGAUAUAAAAAAGUUUUUCAAUUAUAGCCAAAUUUAAAAACAUCAAUUUUAUUGGAACCUAAAAUCUAUGAAUAUUAAUUUUCUUAAAAAUAAAAAUAAAUAAUUUAAAAAUUACUAACAAAUACUUCCCUCUAAGCCCUUUUAGUAAUACGAAUUAUUUUUAAAAUGAUAAUGAACAAUGAUGGAGCCAACUAGGGGCGGAGGGGGCGCCACUUGCCCCCCUAAAAAUGUUAAAAAUAAAUAAAUCUUUAUUUAUUGUAACAUAAUCGAACACAAGACCCACAUUAAGCCCCCUGAAAAAUGUUAAAAUUAGGUUAUUGGGUUAAGAUUCACAUUGUUUAUAGGUGAUAAAAUUUAUAUGUAUCUUAAAAGUUGUCCUCCUACACUGAAGUCUUGGUUGCACCAUUGACGAUGAGGUAAGUUUGUUUUGAUACAUACCCUUUCCCUCCCAAACAAGUAUAAUAAUUUUGUUAUAAUCCAAGUUAGAUGCAAGUUGGAUGGAUAUCGAUCGUUUACACGUUUUCCUUCUAAUUACUUGCAACAUUAUAGGGAGAAGGAGAAGUAUAGAGGAGAAAAAGAGUAGCUCUUUGAGAGACUUUCAGAAGAAGAUCAAGAGGCAAAUGAUUUUUGCUCACUACGCAAUACGUUUGUUUUGUUUAUUUGACUUGUAAAUCUUGGGCAUGAAUUGUUUGUGAGGUGGGUUGGUCAUGGGUCGACUUGGAUUGAGAAUGGACCCAUGGCCCAGCCCACUACUUGGCGGGCUGCCUUGGCAAGCAAUUCUUGCUUACCCUAGCUUACUCUUCUCUUUCUUUGCAACAAAGAUUAACAAAAUUUGUUGAAAAAGGCUUGAUUCCUCUCCAAUGGAAGACAGGACAUGACAUCUUUUAUUCAUAAUGGCUAAAUUUAUAAUUUUUAAAUUUAAAAUAUUAUUUAUAUUUUUUGUUAUUGUUCAUAAUAUCAUAAAAAAUAAUUAAAAAUAUUUAAAUUUAUUUGAAAAAUAUGUUUUGACAACAAAUUCUUAAAAAAACUAUUUUUUUUUGUGAAAUAUAUUUAUAAAAAAAAUUCCGUUCUAAAUAUGGAAAAUUGUUUAAAAAAAAACAUUGUAAAACAAGGCUUUAAUGGUUUAGAAUUUUUGUUUUUUUUAAAAAAAGGUUAUUUGUUUAAAAAAAUAAUGCUACUAGCAUCUUUCGCAUUAGGGUUUACUUUUUAGAAUUGCCAUUAAUAAUUUGCAAUUAUGUAAAAAUUAAUUUAUUUGAACCGCACAUAUAUAUAUGUAAGAGCUGGUUGUUCGCUGAAUGGCACCUCCUUUCUCCACACAAAUAAAUGGUGUCCUGUAGAAUUUCCAAUUUAACGUUAAUUUCUUUUAAGAAUUCUGAAUACCUUGAAUGUUGUUUUGUUUUGUUUCCAUCUUAAUCCACAGAGAAUCUCCUUAUUUGAAUGUUAUGAAACCUACCUUUUGGGAAUCAAAAACCAUUCAAAUCACUCGCAAAUCAGAAUCCACCCAUCAUUGCACCCCCUGGAUCCUGUCUUUUAUGACUGCUCCUUUCCCUUCCAAGCACGUACUCACUAUAAUAGGAAUACAGGAGGGGUCUUUUUCCUUGUUCAAAUGACUUAAUUGGACCUUUCAGAUUAAUUUUCUUAUGCUCCAUCAAUGGUCAGUUUAGUCAAAUAAAAAUGAUAUGGUGUGAACUGAUACUAUGAGAUGAAUCAUCUCACUUUCCUGUGGCCAAAAAAAUAUAAGUUUGCCAUUGUGGACCAUGCAAAGAUGUCAGGAUCUUGGUGCACCGCUAAAAUGAAAAGCUAAUUUGAAAGCUCCAAAAAGAAAUAAAUUCUUCAGACAGUUCACACCAGCCCAUCAUGCCAUAUGUUUUAGUUGCUUUCCUUUUCUGGGUUCUCCUUGGUUGUUUUAAUGUGUCCGUAAGGCAGAAAAACCCAUAAAUUUUAGGCUGAGUGGUCCUGGGAGAGAAGAAGAAUGGAGUGUUACAGAGCUCCCAUUCUAGCUUUUAUGGCACUGAUGUCUCUCUGCUCAGUCAGUCAUGGCUGGGGUACAGACGGGCAUUUCACCAUCUGCAGGAUUGCUCAGGUUCUGCUCUGUGUCUCUUCCACAUUUGCAGGUUUUUUAGGCUUUUAAUUCUCAUUCUCAUGCGAGUUUGUACUGUUACAGUCUCGAUUGAGUGACGUUGCAGCGGAUGCUGUGAAGGAAUUGCUACCAGCCUCAGCGGAUGAUGAUCUGGCGAGCUUGUGUUCAUGGGCAGAUCGUGUCAAGUUCCGUUACCACUGGUCAUCACCCCUCCAUUUUCUUAAUACCCCUGAUGACCUUUGCACAUACCAGUACACAAGUAGGUUCCAAAUCUCUUAGCAUAUGAUAUCAACCUUUUCUGGGAACCAUUGUUACCAUAGAUAAAUUGCCUGGACAUUCAUAUGAAGCAAAGAAAAUUUUAUUCUUGCAUCCUUGGUUGUAUAAUUGUUCAUUAGGGAUGUUUCAUCAUGUUCUUAACAAUCAGAUCCUUUUUUGAGUUGCUUUCGGUUAGGAUGAGGGGAUUGAAAGGAAAGGAAUUGGAACUUUCUUUCUUAUGGCAUUUUCCCUGUGUUGGCAUUUUCUGAAGAAAAUGCAAGCCUAAUAACUCUUACACUAACCAAACAGCGUUUCAAGUUUUGGCUUUGAACUUUACUGCACUGCCAUUUUUAAUCUUCAGGGGAUUGCAAAGAUGAAGAUGGAGUGAAGGGUAGGUGUGUUGCAGGAGCAAUUAACAAUUACACCAGCCAGCUUCUCACCUAUGGCAGUUCUCAAGCAGAUUGUAAGCCCAAAAACCUAGCUAAUCCCAUCAGGUCUUUUGUUGAUCAUUAAUUUUGUAAAUGCCAGUUUGACUAGAAAACUUCGCAUGAUAAACUUAUGUUUUUGUUUUUUGUUUUUUGUUUUCCCCUGUCUCUGAUGCAAUGAAAUCGAGUACCAUCAGAUAAUCUCACAGAAGCUCUUCUCUUCCUUUCUCACCUUAUGGGAGACGUCCACCAGGUACUGAUCGAGAACAUAGCUUCUAACUACAAAUACAUGACAGUCACGUAUGUUAAUGCUUUGUUUUUUUAUGUAUCGGUCAUUUUUUACCUUCAUACAACUGACUGAAGUUAAGCAUUGCAGCCACUGCAUGUGGGUUUUACCACAGACAAGGGAGGCAAUACAAUUGAUGUCAAAUGGUACAACAGGAAGACAGUUCUCCACCAUGUAAGUCUGGACAGCAAAAUUCCAAGACAUUAGAACAAGCACCUUCAGCAAAUAAAUUUUGCACUAAUAUCAAAGCUUUCAGGUCUGGGACACUAAUAUAAUUGAGACUGCAGAAGAGCAGUUCUAUGAUUCGAAUGUAGAUGACAUGAUUGAUGCUAUCGAAAAGAAUAUAACGGUAUUUAGUGAGAAUUUUGCCUUUGAGAAAAUUCUUGUUCUUCCUGAAUUAACUAUGAGGUAUAUAAUUUCUCCCUUUGUUCUUUCUCAAUGUCAGACUGAGUGGGCAGAUCAAGUUCCGAAAUGGGAGAUCUGUGGUGGGAACAAGACAGCAUGCCCGGACAUGUACGUUUAACAACUUUGCCAUAGUAGAAUGUGUGGGGAAGCUCAUUCUUUUUGGAUGAAAACAGGGGUGGUUUCUGCUUUCAUAGAUUUUUAGUUCCCUUGUCUGAAACUAAAUAAAUUGAUGCCUGACCAUGCAUCUGACUGAUUUUUGAACAAACUUUUUAACAAGUGGAACUAAAGAUAGGCUUAAUUAAUGUGAAACUACAUUCUGCAGAUAUGCUUCUGAAGGUAUUAAAGCAGCUUGCGACUGGUCAUACAAGGGUGUAAGAGAAGAUUCAGUACUAGAAGGUACAAAAUAUAUGCUUUUAAUUUUGAUGAUCAUGCAUGUUCAUUUGUUUUACAGUAUAAGAGAACUAACCAAAAAAAAAUAAUUGCAGAUGACUACUUCCUGUCACGUUUACCAAUAAUCACUUUCCGAUUAGCUCAAGGUGGGGUUCGGUUGGCAGCCACUCUUAAUCGUAUCUUUGGAUGAUCAAGAUAUCUGGUAUUGCUCUAUUAUUGUGGCGCUGAAUGAAUUUGCCUAGCAUUAAGCACAGUGUAAAUUCAUUGGCCUAGUAGUACUUGAAUUCAAAGUUAUGGGUAUUGCUUAGGAUGGGGAAUUGUUAUGUGCCAAACCAAGCACUCUUCUCAAAGUAUCUUGUUCUACAUAAUAAGGACCAACACAGAUUCAAUCUGUGAGUUGAAUUGAAAGAGUUCUCCUUAACUAUUUUCCAGCAUAUGAUUUUGGCAUACAAUAGCAAUAAUGUCACAUCCUAGUUUUCCAUCAAGUUCUAUCAAAAUAAAGACACCCAAAACUGUAUCCUUUACUGCAUUCAAUAGAAGAUAAGAGUUCACACUUAUGUUUGAAUACAAUGCAUGUACUCAUCCACUGUCAAGCUUUUUUCUUUUCACAUUCAUAUCAAAGAAAACUUUUAAAACAACUUUUGACUGCAGCAUAAUUCCGAGUUAAUAUUGGAAUUAUACAAUCAACUCGAUUUCUUCACAACCAGUACAGGGCACUUAGCGUUAUUAACGCAGUGGUUGCUCACGCUCCCUAGAAAAGCCCUGCGUCAUUAAAAAUUUCAGUUAUAUAAUGUAUAUCUGAACCAGACGAUGGACUCUCAUGGAGAUGAGAUAUGCAUUCAAUUUGGAAACUGAAAAGAAAGAGUGGUAGUUACCUCUUUAUUUUUCCAAUGCCACGAUCACCUAAAAUAAGGAGAGUGAUGUUCAACUUUUGAACGGCAUCACAUAUGGCCUGUUGGGCAUCCCCAACUUCAGAAAUUGUCUCAGCAUUCACCUGUGGAGACAAGAACUUUAUUGUAACUUAACCGAAGUAACUAAUUAAGCAAAUAUCUUUUGUUAGGAAAAAUGAUGCAAUGUGAUUAUACCCCUUGGCUAGAGCAGAUACUCUUAGCUUUCUCUAAGAGAGCCGCUGAAACUUUCUUGUUUUGUUCUUGGACAUUGUUGAUAAACUCCGGAGCUGUCACACAGAAAAAUUGAAACUUGUCAAUGGCAAUUCUUAGAUCAGAUAGUUCCAUAUUUUUAAUAUCACCAUCAACACCUGAUAAUCAAUCAAAAACAAAAAUAAAAUAAAAAUCACAAGAACAUAGUUACAAGUGAAGUUCAUAUCUCCGAAGGAGAAGGAAAUUUCUAAAACUAAUCUAGUAAGUUGUUUUGGUUUCUGAAAAUUGCAGUCUGUGCCUUUGUUUCCUUGGGUCCCAGUGAUGAAAAUAGAUAGAUCAAAGAAUCAAAAUUUGGGUUUCUGUUCCUUACCUCUGACUUUCUGGGCAACCAAACAAUUGAAGCAAGAAAAUGAAAAAAACAGAGGCAAGGAAGGAGGACAUAACCGGCAGAGACGGGACAGUACAUGCGAGCAGUGCCGAGAGAGGCAGCAAAAGUGUUGUUACGGUAGGGAGGAGGCUGAGCGUUGAAGAUGACGAGAGGAGAGUUGCCGAUAGAUUCUUUAAGAUUAUGGAGUACCCACAUAAGAGCAUGGUAACUGCACUCAUUCUCGUCAAUGGCCACCAUUACCUUCUUGUGGACUUGAGGUCCUCCACCUUCCACUGCCAUUUCCAUCUGGGUUUUGUGUGGGGUUGCAAUACAAAAUCUAUAUAUUGAACUAACGCAAGCUCUGAUCUUUUUAAGUUUCAGCGAUCGGUUGGUGGUUGGGAAAUAAUCCCAGGUCAUAACAGUCAGUCAAAUCCAUAAGGCUGAUUUGGAAUUCUAUGGGUGGGUUUUAGUUUAAAUCCGGUUUAGGUCUAUGAAGUUAGGUAAGGUUUACAACAAACAGAGAACAAAAAUGUAUACGGGGUGAAGCCCAAGGUUUAGCUGGUUAGGAUGUGUUUGGAUAGACGGAUAAGGGGAAUCUUUUUGUCAUUUUCAGUAUUGAUUGCUUGAUGGAUGUCCAAACUGGUGGAUGAGUUUUCUGAAUUUCAAUUUAGUGUCUUCUUCUGUAGGUCCUGGAUUAGGCGUGUCAAUUCCUGGACUCCGUGGUUUAUGGAGACGUUUUGUCUGACAUGGAUGCUUCCAAAACGUCAAAUAUCUGUUGCCACGAGAAAAAAAUAAAAAAAUAAACUUAAUAAUUAAUAAUUAUUUUUAUAUAUUAUUAACUAAUUUAAAAAUAAUUAGUUAACUCUCUCCUAUAAAUCUUAAAUAAUUUUAAAAAGGCAUAAAUUCUUAAUUAAUUUUUUAUUUUCAAAUAACUUUUUUUUAAAAAUAUUUUUCUAUACCAAAUAUAGUAUUGAAGUCUACAUAAUAUAUCUAAACUACUUUCAAGUGCUCUUUCUCACGAGCUAAUGCAUUGUUGGGGUUGAUUUUCAGAUCUAUUUAUGUUUUCAUGCAAAUAAUUAUAAAUAUUUGGGCAAAGACAUUGUCAAUUAUUAGCAAAACUUAAGAAUUAUUUAAUUUUUGAGAAAGUACUAAAAAAAAGAAAAAAAAAAUUAUUUAGAAAAAUUAUCAUCAUAUUUGAUAUAUCAUAAAAAAUACCAAAAAUAUAUAUAUGUGUAGACCUUAAAAUUUGUUUCAAUUUUAUUUUUAUAUUAAUUUUGAACUCAAUUUUAUUUUUAAACUUUAAAUCGAAAUUAUAUUUGAUUUUUUUUCCACUUAUUAUUUAAUUAUUAGUUUUUAUUAUUUUAUUUUAUUUUUAUUUUCUUACUCUUUUUUUUUUUUUUCUCUCUGCUCUCUCUUCUUACCUUCCCCACCUAGCCCACCUACUUUCUCUCUCUCCUCCCAUACCCCACGUCACCUCCCCCUUUUUCCUCUUCUUUCAUUUUCUCUUUCUUCUCAUUCCUUUUUUUUUUUUUUUUUUCUUUUUUUUAGUUUUUCUCUCUCCAUUUCUCAAGAUCGGUCGGCCCCACCAUUAUGCUUCUUCCUUUUUUUUCAUUUGUUUUCUCUCCCUUUCUAUUUUUUUUUUCACCUCCCCCCUCUCUCCUCUUCUUUCCUUUUCUCUUUCUUCUCGUUCCCUUUUUUAGUUUUUCUCCACCAAUUUCUCAAGAACGACCGGCCCCACCAUUCUGCUUCUUCCCUUUUUUUCUUUUUUCUUUUUGGAAAAGUUGUGUCUCGGGGCCAUUUCCCAAUAAUAUUAUUUUUAAAACCCAAGUUUGCAUAUCCAAGAUAUGUCCACUAUUUCAAGAAAUUUUUUCCAUUUCAUGCACUCUAUACUGAUUAUAAUUGUAUUUCCGAAAUUACCCCUCCAUGCAUUUCCUUUUCUCGUUCUAUUUUUAGAACAUUAAAAACCCAUUUUAAUAAAGCCCAACAGCUAUAAUAGGAGGCCUCGAUUUUCUAUGUAAAUAAAAUUCUCACCAACCAAACGGAUAAGGUGAGUAGAUUGUCAAUAUUCUUUUCAAUAAAAGGAAGUUUUUUUAUUUAUAAAAAUUCAAAAAAAGCAUUUAGAAAAAUAAAAAAGAAUUGUUUUAAAUAGAAUUUGAAAAAUUGUCCAAAAAUUUCUUUGUUUAAUAAAAAUUGUUUUGUAAAUAAAGUUGCCCAAAAAAUUAAUUUUUAAUAAAAUUGUCCAAAAAAUGUUUUUUUUAAAUGAAUUUUUUUCCUUAAUUAAAAUGGGAUUGAAAGUAUUUUUUAGAAAUAGAGAAUUUAAUUUUUUUUCUUUUUAAUUAAAAUUUCUUUUGAAAAUAAAGUUAUGUCUUUUUAAAUAAUUUGUGUAAAUCACUUUUUUUUUAAAUAAAAAUGAAUCAAAAUAUUUUUGUAAAUAAAAUUGUAAAAAUUCAUUAUUUUAUAGUAAAAGUAAGUAAGAAUAAUUUUUGUAUCCAAAUUAAAAUUUUGUAAUAAAAUUGUAAAAAUUCAUUAUUUUAAGUGUAAAUAACUUUUUGAAAAUUGAAUACAAAUGAAAUUGAGAAAAUAAAUUGAUUUUUUUUUUGUAAAUAAAUAAAUUGAAAUCAUUAAUUCAAAAUCAUUUUUAAUAAAAUCCUAUGAAAUUUCUUGAAAUUUAUUUUUAAUAUUUUUUUUAGUUCAAUAAAUCAUUUUUGCAUAAUCCUCUUGUCAUUUAUUUUGUGUUUGUAAUUAGGUUUCAUAAUUAUUUGUAUGUAUUAAUUUUCAUUAUGACUUGUACAUACUCAUUUGUAUGAUUAUUUUUCUUAAUAUCCAUAAUUAAUUAAUUAAUUGUCAUAAUUCUUUUAAUUCGGGUUGCACGUAUACAAGUUUAGAGGGGUGUUAUGGUUCACCAUUGUACAUUCCUAAUAAAUAACCUGACCCCUGGAUCCAAACUCGGUUUUUCGUAGAUCUGUUUUUCCUUCAAGAGUCACAUUUAGGGUUUUUAUUUUUUAUUUUGUUUUUCCCUUAAAAAAAAUAAAACAAAAAUAAGUGGCGACUCUAAGUUUUUUUUUUUUGUUUUUUCAAAAAAUCAAAUUUUCAGAAAAAAAAAAAAAAAAAACGAGUUUCGUAGAGUGGGAACGCACGUGAAAAGCGUGGAUCUACAAUAUGUAAUUAAAAUUUUAUAUAUUUUAAAAUUAUUUAAUAUUCAAACACUAAAACCAGAACCAUAAGAUUUGUUUGGGAAGUGUUUUUUUAUAAUAAUUUUCUAUUUUUCAGAAAAAAAAAACAUAAAAAAAAAUAUGUUUGUCAACUAAAAAUUAUUUUACUGUUUUAUGUUUUUUAUUCUUAAAAACAAAAAAUAUGAUAUUUUUAAAUAACAUUUUUAGUUAUUUUUUUAUUGUUUUCAUUUAUUUUUUGAAGGUUAUUUAAAAAAAUAAUUAUAUAAAUAUGAUUAAAAAUAAAAUACUAGAUACACAAAUUAUUUUUAAAAUAUUAAAAAAAGUUAAAAAUAUUUUUAGUUUUCAAAUAAGCUUUUGUUUUAUAAAACUUAAAAAAUAAGUUUAAAAACAUGUUUUCAAAAACUAUUUUUCAAAAUUAUUUUUAAAAAUAGUUAUUAGACAUGCUCAUGGCAAUUCUUAUAUAGAACAUUACUUUAAAAAGAUAAUAACUUUUAAAUAGUAUUUUAAAAAAUUGAAGUAUUAUUAAAAUGUAUAAUCUCAAAGUUCAUAAAUAAUGUUUAAAAAUAAAAGGUAAAUCCAUAUUUCUUUUUUUAUAUAAAAGUUACUACAUUAUUAUUAUUUUAUUUUUAAAAACAAAAAAUAUGAUACGUGACCAAAAAACGCACCAAGGAAAAUGAGUUAAAAAAAUAUAUACAAAAAUAAUUUGUUUUCUUUAAAUUUAUUAUUUAUUUUCCUUCCUUUUUUCUUUUUCUUUUUCUAUUUAUAAUGAGUUCAAAAAGCAAAUAAAAAAAAUUUAUUUUCUAUAAAUCUAAUAUAUUUUUUCUUUUUUUCUUUAUUUUACAUCCCUUAAAUUGUAAUUUUUUUUAGAACCAUACGUAAGGUAAAUGAACCACAAGCAAUAAGAGGACAUGUUGCAUUUUGGAGGUAUUUUGACGGAGAAAGGAUGAAACGAAAUGCAAGAAGAUGAAGGACUAGGAGCAAAAUCCUAGUGGGAAGCUAGUUGCCCAGUGAAGUCAAAAGUGAAAAAUACUGGAAAGUUUGUUUUCUGUCACAGCAGAUACAAAAUCCCAUCAAGAAUUGAAUGAGAAAGGAAAAAGCAAAGAAGUGCCUAGAAUAUUUUGAACAAUUAGAUGGCGGUGAUUACAAUGGUGCUUGAAUUUUCGUAUUGCGUGGCCCAAUUGCCCAAUAGCUGUAAAAAUGUGUUUGCCCUUGACCAUUUUGCCUGAUUGUUACAAAAAUGCGUUAAUUCUUGACCAAUUUGCCUCUGAAUUUUUCUACAAAACCCAUGAUCCUUGUUUUGCAGUGACCUAUUAUAGGCUUGAGCCUCUUCCUCUAGGGUUUUGAACCCACCAUCCCCGGCCAACUCCCCCCCUAUUGGGAAGGCUGUAAGGACCACUAGAAUAUGCAGCGAUUGUUUUGGUUGGAAGUUCUAUUCUGCUAUGAAAUGCAAUAUAUAACAUUUUUUUUUUUAAAUGGGUAAAGCAAAGAGUAUUAAUUAAGAGGAAACGCCCAAACCAAAGUAUAAGUAUAUAUUGGCUGCCAAAAGGCUCAACCAAGUGGAGGAGGGAGAGAACAAAAAUCAUCAUCAACUCUCAUUUAGAGCCUAUCCAAUUGAUAAAACUAAUAAGAAAAGUAGGAUUCACAUCCACAGACAUCCUAGUCCAAUAUCACAAAUUACAAGUAAAAGAGUAUUUCAACCGAUAACUCCGCAUUAUAAAAAAUAAGCAUGUUCUUUUCUUUUCGAUUAGUCCAAAGGAUGUAUAAAGGGAUAACCUUUCAAGGCUUUUUGCAACCUUUACCCAAAAAAGAUCCAUGUCACCUAACAAGCAUCUCUUUAACUAAAAAAUGGGAGAAUCAAAGACAUACCAAAGAGAGUAAAAAACAACUGUCAAAGAGUCCUUGUCCUUGCACAAUUGAGAAAAAUAUGAUCAAAGAUUUCUUCUUCAAAAUGAAAGAAAGAAAAAAAAAAACAUGUAUUUGCCAAAUAAACCCCCUCCUUUGGACAUGAUCCAAAGUUGAAAGGUUUUCCCCCAAUUCGCCUCCUAUAAGUGAAAAAAAAAAACCACUUUAGGUGGCAUACAAGAACUCUAAAUGAUAUUCCACAGAAACAGUAAAAGGUCACCAAGCACUAAAACAAAAUAAAGGGAUUUGAUCGAAAACUUUCCACUUUUUGAAACCGUUCAAAUCAUUCAAUUUUCUUCAUCCCUAUACACCCCUUUUGCUUGAAGAAUCAGUAGAAAGCUCCAGGGUAGGUACUAACAUGGUAUUAAGCUGGUGAUUCCAUACCCCAGGGUAUGUACUAAAUCACAAAUCUAAAAUCUACAAAUCAUAAAUUCAGCCUGGGGUUCCUAAGAUUACCCAUUGACCCACUAUUUUAAUUUUUUUAAAAACAUGGGUACUUUAGAAACCAGAGAGGAUAUCAACUUGGACCAUAGUUAUUCACUUCACAAAGUAAAACAACUUACAUGCCAUUUAAAAAUUCAGUCUCAAAAGAAUACACAUGAAAAGAGGUGAUUCAUAGGAACAUAUUUGAAGUUGAUAAUUACAUAAACAUUUUUUUUUCUUUCCCAAAAGAGACUAUCACAUGGCAUUCGGAGAAGAUGGAUAUGAAUGUCUCACUCCGGUUUCCGCACAACAAGGACUGGGCACUUAGCAUUAUGCAUGCAGUAAUUGCUAACACUUCCAAGAAAAGCCCUGUUCCAGCAAAAUUUCAUUACUGUUAAAACAUGCAACAAGAAGCCGUACGUCAAGUGAAAAACCUGGGGAGGUAGUGAGUUACAUCAUGGAAAAACCAUAUUACUGAGACAUGCAGCAGUGAUUCAAAAAUUGGAAAAAGCGAACAUGGAUAUUAAAAGAAUGCAUUGCCAAGCGAAAUGCAUAAUUCACACCUCCUGGAACUAAAUAAGGACUCUAAUUCUGGGACUUACCUCCCAAAAGCACCACGACCAUGGCUGCCUAGAACAAGGAACUGGAUGUUCAACUUUUCUACUGCCUUACAUAUAGCCUCUUUAGGAUCUCCAACUUCUGUAAUUGUCUCUGCAACAAUCUGUGGAUGGAAAACUAUGAAUUCAGCUGCAUAUACAAAUUCAGGGCCCAAAAAGAAACUUGGUUUUCCCCAUUUCGAACAUGUAUUGCAGUUGGAUUCUAUUCUUUCCAACCCCACUAGAAAUAAUCAUUUGAACCCACAAUAUUCUGAAAUAUCUGGGUGCCUAGAAGAAGUUAAGAACUGAUUGUAGCAUGGCACCUAUGGUGUAACUGCCAAAAGAAAAAGUUUAAGAAGCCAUACCCCACACUGAGCACAUAUUUCCUUAGCUCGCUCCAGAAGAGCGAAUGCAACCUUCUUUUGCCUUUCCUGGACUGCUGUAAUCAGAUCUGGUGCUGUAGACAGAAAUGUGAAAUGUUACACUUACACUCCUCCAAAACUUCCAACUUCAAUUCAACAAAUUGCUUUUAACCUUACGAAAUGCAAAAGAAACAAUUUGCCUACAUAUAAAACCAAUUUCAGGAGCUUUAAAUCAGUUCAUAAAUUAACCAAUUCAGACCACUACUGCAUCAAAGGAUGUUGCAGACAUGGGGUUCUUUUUUUCUUUUUGGUUUUUACCAUUGAUCUGAUUCCUGGAAAAUGAGGAAAACAGAUAGCGGGUUCGUGGGUAUGUGAUUGUGAUAAGGUCCGAUUGAUUUCUUUCAGUGAAGAGAAAGAAAGAAAAUCUAAUUAAAGAAAAGAAAAGCAAACAGAAAAUCGAAGAUGAGAAAAAGUAAAUAGAGACGUACGAGCAACGCCCAGAGUGGAAGCGUGGAUAUAGGUGAAAUCAGAAAGGGACUGUACAGUGAAGACGAUGAGUUGGAAGUUGGAGAGGGAAUCGCGAAGAUUUUCGAGAGCCCAAUUGAGGGCGUGGUGACUGUACUCGCUUUCAUCUAUGCACACCAUCAUUUUCUUCUUGUCGUCGCUCUUACUCUUUUCCCCAACUCCCUCCAUUUCUACCGCCACAAAAUCUAUCUCUGAUCUCCUCAAUAUUCUGCUCAACUCGUAUUUAUAGCUCUUGUGCAGAGAUGUCUCCGGCUUCUUCUAGAUUCAGGCACCCCUCGAACCACCAAUCAAAACCUCACGGUCAACGCCUACUGUCAUCGUCUUUCUUUUGCCGUGCUGAUUUAGGAUUCCUAAGUCACUAAUUUGAGUAAUUUCAUUCGUCUGUGCCAGUCUUACUCUUUACAAUGUCUGGUGGCAGGCUAGUCUUACUCUUACAGGCCACGCGUCUUUUUAUUUUAUUUCUUUUUUACUAUAUUCCCCUUUUACCCAUUAAGUGAAAAAUACAUAAAUAACCAUUACAUUAAUAUAUUUGUUUACAGGAAUUUUAUAUUUAAGAAUUCAAAAAAUUAAAUAUAAAAUUAUGAAAUUAAAAACAGUUUCCAGAUGGGGAAUUUAUCUCCCUAAUGGAGAUUAUCGUCCCGGCCUCAUUCCACUUUGUCAAAAGCGAGGAAUGGGGUUAGACAUGAGGAAUAAUUUUACAAGCGGGAAAUGGGACGAUAGAGCCUUCCCUGAACCUGCCCCACCCCGUUUCCGCCUCCAGAUAAUCAUGUCUGCAUCAGCCACCCAUGGUUUUGGUGCAUGCAAUUCCAUCCCUAUAUUCAGGCGGUUUAUCUCAAGUCAUACUUCAAUCACAUGCUACUAAUGGAAAUUAAUCAAAUUUAAUGUAUAACAAAAUUGACUGCGACCAAAAAAAAAAUAAAAAAUUCAGGAUCUGAACAAGUCAGAAAGAUCUAUGAAAUGGUACAAAAAAUAUAUGAAAUGAAGUGAACCAUGCUACAGAUGUACUAUGUUGUGGCAAAGGUAAUUUAGCGACUGUAAUGUUGAUUUGUUCUUUCACAUUUGAGAUAGAGAACUUAAUGGGAUUCCUCAUGUCGUAGGAAUUGAACCAAUUUAGAUCUUAUCUCUGUUGGUAUUCGAACGGGACGGUAGUUUUUGUCGAGACAUACUGCUGUGGCCCUAGCUUCCAAGAUGGGCUGGCCAACAAAAAUGAAUUCCUAAGCACCAGGAUAAGCAAGGAAAAUUGAAAAUGGAACUAAGCAAAGGGGGCAGCAGCAAACCUCUUCAUUUGGGAGCUUGAAGAUGAAGUGUUCAAAGUAUAAGCGGGCAGCUGAGGAAUCAGAGACCCUCACCUUCACCACAAACCUGUCUCCACUCUGGUUGCACCAGAAACACCAUGAAAACAUCUAUUAGCUUUAUCUAAACAAGGGCGGUUUUUUCAAAAUACAACAGCCUGAGUCCUAGCAACCUCAGGGAUAUUAAGGAUAUGAAGCUUAAGAAAGUGAAUUGAGGAGAUACUUUUGCAACCUCCUACAUUUUUUUUUUUUGAAAAUGAAUGCUAUCCCAUCAUCACUCUUUUAUCAGGGUGUGUUGUGUAAUGUCUUAUCUUCCCCAGUGGGAAAACAGGUGUAAUUGCUUCUUCAAAAGAAUAAGAACGUUCAGGAAAACCAAGAAGAAUUCAGGUUUAAAUCUGAAGGCCAACAGAAAUCAUUAUUCUUUUCACACACACCCCAAAGACAAUAUUUACAAACUUCAAUGUCAAACAGGUUAGAAGUGCUCCACACCCCGUUUGGCACUUAAGAAAAUCAAGGAGUAAACAAGAAAUUUGAGGACUAGCACAAGAUCUAGUAGUGUGAAUAUAGUGAUGAAAAAUGUACUCUCAGAGGUGCAAGGAAUUUGAGUGUCAGCUCUGAAAGUGCUAAUGCAUCACCAGUGCGAGCAACAGCAUCAGCAUUGACACCAAUCUUUUCCAGAAGCUCAUGCCGACCUGAUCAGAGUAUUGAAGGACAAGCAAUCAAUCAAUUUUAAACUCUUUAGGGGAAAAGAAAUGACUCUUUUAAAUGGUAUAAGAAAUAUCAAUUAACUUAUUUUGGAAGGGUGAAUCCAACUAAUUUCUCAAUCUCUUAGGUAAUGUUCAGCAAGCAGUCACUUUAUUUUGGAAGAUUAAAAAUGUGUGCCGCAGAAAUUAUUUAGCAAAUCUUCAUUAAGUAUUGAAAAAUGGCAAAGAGACCCUCAAGCAAACUACUAUGUAAUCUUCACCCAUUAAGAAUUAGAAGAAAUACAGCAUUCACAGUUUCAUAUUUAUUGGAGAUAGCCAAUUUUAAGUUCAUUUAGAAAUGCAAAUGACAAAGGGUGAGUCCAACUAAUAGUCCAGCUUUACAACAAAUGCACAAGAUCUAUUAAAGGAUUCUCUUGUACUUUUCUUUCAUCAAAGAGUUCAGAUGUCACAUUCAGCAUCCAGCAAUUUGGAGAUAGUAUUAAGUGUUCAGUUGUAUACCUCUAGGAAGGUCAUUAUUUCCCCAAAAUCACCUACAAUAGCUUUCCAACUUUAACUUAGUGCAUGUAACCUUCAUACUAUAGCACUAAGAAAGAUUCACCUGUCUGACUAACAAAAUCCUGUGUGACAAGAGAGCAAGUUCCAUAUGAAUCCUUUGGACAAUACUUAAUAUGCAUAGCCCCCAUGAAAUUCGAACCAACUAUAGACCAUAUGCUGAACAUUCAACAAAAUAUUAUUUCAUCCAAAAUUUACAUGCAUAGGCUGGAGUUUCUUUCAGCUACGUGAAUUCUUUUUCAUCAUUCAGUUUUAUGAUUAUAUUACCACCAAUUUUUGACUCAAUGACUUAGUACCUAUUUGGGACGUGUUAUUUAAAACAGUUUUUGAUAAUAGUUUUAAUGUUUUUAAAAACAAAAUUGUGUUUGAGAACUGAAUUCUAAAAAAUAGCUUUUUGUUCUUAAAGAAAAAAACCAUGUUUGGUUGAGUUAAUAAACACAAUUUUAUAGGAUCGAAUUUAACGUCAAUAAACAACACAAAUUCCUCUCAAAAACCAUAAGACCAAUUUAAAAAAUAAAAAAUAAACUCCUGAAAACCAAUCAUAAAUUUUGAUGGAUCUACCAAAUUUCAUAUCAAGCAUACAAAUUUUCACACAAUUGAAGCAUUCCGCAUUAGAUCUACACAAAACACAAUAUCGCAUUUAGAUCUCCAAAUUCCUACAUGGACCUCACAAAUACCAUACACAACCAGCAGAUCCGCCACACUGUCAAAAUUAUUAAAAAAAAAAAAAACCCACACAAAUCACAAAACACAAAAACUACAAAGCUCAGUGGACAGAUGGUGUUGGAGUGGAAGAGGAGAGGAGUGAAAGAGCAAAAUGAAAAAAAGGAGAGUAUUGAGUUUGAUGGUUUCUGUUUUUGUAUUACGUGUAAUAUUUGGAGGAGUUUGAAGAGAGAGAAGUUCAGUUGGAGAAUGAAGACCUCAUGGAGGUGAAAAGCAGCCAGCCAAUCCAAACAUAAAGGUUCUUCCCAACACUUCUCUUUGCCUAGGUCUAGAAAAAUCACCUUUACUUUAAGGUUUUUUCCCAACACAUUUUUUUGAUCCAGCAAAAUCAUCCCCAUUUUACCAGAUCUAGCCAACGAAACUUCAAAAUAUUGAAAAUAAAGAAAAUACAUAAAAAGGUAUGCCAAGGACGUUCUGUUGGAGAUGUGUUGGUGGAGACACUCUCAAGGUGUAGGUUCUUCCAUCAACAAGGUGCAGUUUGUAUGGAGACAUGUUGAUGGAGACACUCACAGUGCAAAGAAGGGAGGUGAGAACAUGGAGAACACCUAUUUUUUUUUUGAUAGGUAAAAGAGAUUCUAUUAAAAAGAGACACCAAGAAGGCAGCUCAAGAAAUACAAACCUAUACACCUCCUACAAGAGAAUACUAAAAGAAACAAAAAGCCCCAACAUACACCCCUAAUUAGAGCCCAUCCAAUCAAUAAAAUUAGCUAUAGUUAGAGGGCAAUCAACUAUGAACAAUUUUGUUUCAGCCCAAAGAGAAAAAAUAAAAGAGUAUUUCAAUCUUUGAAUUGACAACGUAUCAUCCUUGAAGGCCAACCGAUUCCUCGCCUUCCAAACCGUCCAAAAAAUGUGCAAAGGAGCCACUCUCCACACCUUCUUACGCUUUUUGCCCACAAAAGAUCCAUGCCAGCUUAGAAGGGUUUCCUUAACAGAAUAAGGCAACACCCAAGAUACCCCAAAAAAAGUAAAAAGAAGAUCCCAUAAAACCUUUGUUCUUGAGCAAUGAAGAAGGAGAUGAUCUAUGGUCUCCUCAUUCUCAAGACACAAAAAACAUCUAUUUGCCAAAGCCCAUCCUCUUUUCUGCACCUUGUCCAAGGUUAGUGCUUUGCCCCACGUAGCCUCCCAUACAAAAAAACUGAUCUUGGGCUGCACAUUCGCAUUCCAAAUAAGGCUAGAAGGAAACCGAGCCGACCCCCCCGCUUCCAUGGCCAAGUAUAGAGAUUUAACCGAGAAAUUACCACUCUUAGUUUCAGUCCAUGAUACCUUGUCCUCCACAACCUCAAUAACUCUACUACGAUGUAACUGCUCCAUAAAACUUGAUGCUUCCUCUACCUCCCAAUCAUUGAAAGCUCUUAAAAAGCAUGGAUUCCAACCCCCCCAUCCCCCCUCCGCCAAGGAAUCCCAAACAUCUGCCACACUUUCUUCCUUAUCAACAGUCAAAGCAAAUAGAGACGGAAAGGACGAACACAAAGGAGAAUCCCCACACCAUUUAUCUCUCCAGAACCUCACCCUCCUACCAUUACCAACAAUGAAGACCAUCCUAUUGCUCACUAAUUCCCAAUCCAUCCUUAUCCCUUUCCACAACCCCAAGCCAUGAGCCUCUCUCACUUCCCGAGAGGCCCAACCCCCUCUCUCUUCUCCAUAUUUCCCUCUAAUCACUUGAUUCCAUAAGGCUUCUCUCUCAUUAACAAACCGCCAAUUCCAUUUAGCAAGAAGAGCCUUGUUGAGAAUAGAAAGGUUUUUUACCCCUAAGCCCCCUUUCUUUUUACUUAAGCACACCACCUCCCAUCUUACUAGAUGAGGCUUUCGCUCCAAAUUACCCCCACCCCAAAGGAAGUCCCUUUGAAUCUUUUCUAGUCUCCGUCUGACUACACUCGGUAACCACAACAAAGACAUAAGAUAGAUUGGUAAAUUCGAUAACGUGCUUCGAAUUAAAGUCGUCCUCCCUCCCUUGGAUAAAUAUUGUCUCUUCCACAUUCCUAACCUUUUACGGAAGCGUUCUUCCACUCCAUCCCAAACUGAUGUUGAUUUGAAAGAAGCCCCCAAAGGCAUCCCCAAAUAUGUGGACGGCAAGCUACCCACUUUGCAACCAAACUCCCAAGCAAGGUCAUCCAUAUUCUCUACCCUUCCUACAGGGAUGAGUUCACUUUUUUCCAAAUUUAUUCUCAAUCCCGAAGUGGCCUCAAACCACAUAAGUAGCCAACUAAGAUAAGUCAAAUGGUCUUGAGACGGCUUACAGAACACCAGAGUAUCAUCGGCGAACAACAAAUGGGAUAUAAGGACCCCUUCUUCACUUCUCCCCUUUACCCUACACCCCGAUAAAUAACCUCCCUCUACAGCCCUUUGGAGGAAAGCACUAAAAACCUCCAUUGCUAUAACAAAAAGAUAAGGGGAAAGGGGAUCACCCUGCCUCAAUCCCUUUGAGCUUUGGAAAAAGCCUGUAGGGGUUCCAUUUACCAAUACAGAAAAACUUGCAGUGGAGAUGCACCAUUUUAUCCACCUGAUCCAUUUCUCCCCAAAACCCAUUUUCUGCAUAACUGAGAGAAUAAAAGUCCAGUCCACAUUAUCAUAGGCCUUCUCUAUGUCCAAUUUACACAAGAUGACACUCUCAUUAUUUUUCAGAGUCGAAUCAAUGGCUUCAUUAGCUAUCAACACUGCGUCUAGGAUUUGUCUCCCUUCCACAAACGCCCCUUGGGCCUUGGAGAUCACCUUUCCAACCACCUUUUUUAGCCUAUUGGCUAGGACCUUGGCCAACCACUUAUAUAAGCUUCCCACCAGGCUUAUGGGCCUAAAAUCCCCCAAAUCUUCUGCUCCCACUUUUUUUGGAAUUAAGACUAAAAAAGUUGCAUUUAGGCUCUUAACAAAUUUUCCAUUUUCAUAGAAUUCCUUGAAAAAACACAACACAUCCUCCUUCACAAAAUCCCAAGCAAACUGCCAAAAAGCCAUAGAAAGUCCAUCUGGUCCCGGAGCUUUAUCCCCAUUGCAACUCAACAAAGCAUUGUACACCUCCUCUUCCGUGAACGGGCUCUCCAAAGUACUAGCAUCCAACUGAUCCAGAGUCUCUAACUGCAGCCCGGAUAUGGAAGGACGCCAAUCCCCCGAACUGGACAGCAGCAACUUAAAAGCAUUGCCAAUCCCUUCCCUAAUUUCAUUCUCCUCUAAGCACCAAGCUCCAUUAAUCUUGAUUCUGUCCACAUUAUUCCUCCUCCUAUGAGCAUUAGCCAUUUUGUGGAAAUAACCCGUAUUUCUGUCCCCCUCUUUCAGCCACACUUCCCUAGAUUUUUGCCUCCAACUGAUUUCUUCAAGUAACACCCAUUUUUUAUAAUCUUCCCUCGCUUCUUUCCUAGCUUCCAGCUCUUCCAAGUUCAGUCUGCUAAUUUUCUCCUUUGCAUCCCAAAACUGCACCUGCUCCAACGCCGCAUUUUUUCUGAGCUCAAUCCUGCCGAAUGUGUCUCUAUUCCACUCCUUUAGCUUAGCCUUCAGAACUUUUAUUUUUUCAGCCAAAAUAAAGCUUGCUGAUCCAUUGAAUCUACCCCCCUCCCACCAAGACUUCAUAAGCUCCUUAACACCUUCCACUUUCAACCACAUGUUUUCAAAUCUAAAAGGGGAAGGGCCUCUUCUCCCACCCCCUACAUCCAGCAGAACCGGAAAAUGAUCAGAGACUGGCCUUGGAAGGACGCACUGCCGCACGUCACCAAAGUGGUUGUCCCAGCCCUCAUUAAAUAAGAACCUAUCCAGCCUUGAGAAGGACUGAUUGUUCACCCCUCCACUCCAAGUAAAGGGACCCCCGACUAAAGGCACGUCCUUUAACUCUAAGUCUUCAAUUAUUUCUACGAACCUUCUCAUGUUCGAAUUCAGUCUCCCCCCCCUGUUGCGCUCUUCUGGACUCAGGAUGGCAUUAAAAUCCCCUGCAGCACACCAUGGCCCAUUCCAGAGCCCUUUAAUGGCCCCCAACUCCUCCCAAAAACUCUCCCUUUCUCUCCUCAGAAUUGGGCCAUAUACCCCUGUAAACAUCCACAUGAAUCCGUCCUCGCUGUUCUUAAAAAUACAUGAAAUGGAACACCCACCUUUAUGAAUAUCAACCAAUUCCAAAACUCUGUUGUCCCAAAACACCACUAUACCACCAGCUGCCCCUCUUGAGUCCACUGCCCCCCAGUCAAGAUAUCUUCCCACCCCUAGGCUGCAAAUAAUACCCUUUGACAUUUCUUGUAUCUUAGUUUCCUGAAGGCAAACCAGGUCCACCUUAUGCUUCUUUAUCAAAGCUUUUAUAACCUUCCUCUUGUCACAAUUAUUGGCCCCUCUUACAUUCCAAGUGAGCAUUCGGAACUUCAUUUAGACCUGCACGUGUUUACCCCUUCUUCUCCUCCUCCUUCUCCAAUAUAGUUCACUGUCCAUUCCAAUUUCCUCAAUUCUCUUUCAAAUUUGGACGACUUCAAUUUUUUGCUUUUUCUGCCGUCCAUUUGUCCUUUCUGAAUCUUCCUUUCUUUCAUUCUUUUCAGUAAAAACAAAAUUUCCCCUUCAAAUCCCUCCGUCGGCAUUCCAAUAUAGCAGCUAAACUUAGCCAGACUACUAGAUUGCCAACAAGGUUCCUCCUCUUCUUCCCUCUCCUCCAUAUCCUCAUGGAUGGUCCUAUUCGUAUCCCCCUCUGUUUUCUCUCCGAAAGCCCCUACUUCCCUACUCGCACUGUCCAAUACCUCGGCCUCCCUGUUUUCUCUCCGAAAGCCCCUACUUCCCUACUCGCACUGUCCAAUACCUCGGCCUCCCUUCCGUCCGCCCAUAUCAUCCUUAACGGACCCAUAACUGCACCCCCAACUUCAACAGAGCUACUGCUCUGAAUGAUGACCCCAGUCCUGGCUACACUUUCCCCAUUUCGACCAGAAGGAGUAGAAGAAAGAGAAAUAUCCCGCUUCCCCAAAGAAGACAGAGAACGAGAAGAUUGGUCUGAGUACCUGGACGCUUCCUCCAUCAAGGCUUCAUUGGUGAACACUGUAAGAUUGACGGCCGGUGAACGCGACCCCAUCUGAGCUCCUACCAUCUCCCCCUCAAGUUCUCCACUGACACCCAAUCCCCCGACGGGAGCCCUAGCUUCUCUGGAUCGAUCCAUCUCCACCUCAGAGUCUUUAUAAGAUGAGACUUGGGCCGGCCCAUUUUCAUUAAUUCUAUUUGGCCUUCAGUCACUUGGCCUUUCUCCUUGGGCCUUCGCCCCAAGUCCACCAUCAUUUACCGGCCCAUCACGAGGGAUUUCCCAUGCCCGCAAAUAGUAUUCUUCCCCCACGUUAUGUGCUGGCUGGCUGUGGACCCGACCCCAUCUGCUACCUUUUCCGACAGCGCUUCAGAGAACGCAGCUGCCUUACUGCAUCCCCCUUCAUCAUUUUCACACGGCACGUCCACUUUUGCAGGUUCUCCAUGCGUCCGUACAUUGACCUUUUUGAAACCAGCGCGUGAAUCUCCUUCUCCUUCAUCCCUAACCUCUCGCUCGUUGCCCAUCUCGUUUCUGGUCGCCGGAACCACUGCCGUCAGCCCUGGUUUCACCUCCCACCAUAGUUGUAGAGAAUAACAGACCGACCCGACUGCCACUUGCAGUGAGUUCAGCCACUCUAAGCCUUCCGAUCUCACUAAUAGUCUGGCCCAUUUUAAUUCCUUAAAAUUUGCAGUGUCUUCAUCCACUGCGAGGAACCCCCCGCAACAGUCACCGAUUUUUCUGAGUAUCUCCUGACUCCAAAAAUGCAACGGCAUUCCCAUAACUCUCACCCAGACACUCUUAUCCCUCUCGCCAUUAAUAGAACACCCCACCUUUGGGUCCCACCUUUCCAAGCUCAAGAAUGAUUCCUUAAACCACCGAUGUCCUCUUAACAACACCUUUUCUGCCUCCUCUUUAGUCUCAAACUCUAUUAACAACAGAGGGCCUCCCAACCUCGAAAACUUCACCCCUCCUUUAGUAUUCCACACAGAUCUCCCCCAACUUUCGAAAGCUUGCAUAUCUGGGUCCAACAUUGAGGAUUGUCCCCAUCUUCCCACCAGACAUCGUCCCAGGAAUUUCCUUUCAUUUGACACUUCUUCCUCCCCUAGUUGAAGCCACACUGCCUCCCCAAACUUCUUCCCUCUUGUUUUCACGGCUUCAACAUAGGAUUUUUUGGCUUUCCUCACAUAUUCCCCAUCUGAACACCCUGUCCCAUAAAAUGCAGCAGUUCCCUUGGACUCCUCCCGAGACCCAACUCCAAGAAAACGAAGUUUUUCGGCCAACAAUACCCAUCCUCCCAAAACACUUUUUCCUUCUGGAAACACUAAACAAAAUCUCUUUGAUUCCAAGUCAACCACAGAGCAUAAAAUAUACCUACCAGCCUUGUUUUCACGGAUCUCCAACUUAUACCUUCUUCCUCCAUCUUCCCAACUUUUAACAUGGCCUAGCAUCAACACUCCCCUGCAACAAGCCUCCACUCCUUCCAAUAAGCAACAUAAGCUGAUGCUUCCAAAUCUGAUCCAUGAGGUAUAUCCUUUGCUUCUUUCCACAAUGAUACCCUUAGGUCUCUCCCCAGUCACCUCCGCCGUGAUUUCAUAAGACUUUGAUUCUACUGCAAACCAACAUCUGCCUCCUCUCUUAGCAGCCAUUUCCCCUACACUCACACUUAGAAAUGUGUUUGAAAACACAGAGAGCAUCUGCCCCUUUUUUUUGUUCUCUAAAUAGUGUCAAAAACAAGAGAAACACCUUUAACUUAUUCUCUAAAAACAGGAUUUUUGAAAACAUGGAGAACACUGAGAACAAUUGUACACUCCUUGCCAAAUGUGUUUUCUGUUCUAAAGAACAUAAAACAGUUUUCGGAAACACUUUCCAAACAGUCCCCUAGCCUUCCUAUAGAUGUUUCUAUCAUAAAGUUCUAGAUCUACAUUAACUAUGAUCUCAAAGUGUAUAUUUUCAAGUUUUCCACUACUUAAGCACAUGCUCAAACAAUAUAUGAACUAGAAAAUACCAACUGAAAAAAGCAAGCAAUGAACCUUGAUUGUGAACCUAAGAGAAAAAGCAUUGAAAAUUGAUGAUGACAGCAAAAUACUUUUUUGUGAUAAGAUCAGAAGCUUUCAGUUGAUGACUUCCAUAUAUGUGUGUGUGUGUGUGUGAGGAACAAUAACAGAUCUAUAACCAAAGUUGGCAAUGGAAAAUGAAGGACAAAACAAAUUCCAUGCAUCUUAACUAAUCUUAGUAUGGAGAACUAAAUCCAAUCACUAGAAUCUUCAUGAAUGAUGUGAUUUACUAGUGUUUCCUAUACAUUUGUUUGACAUUUUUUGGGUCCAUGACCUCUACUACUACUUUGCCCUGGCUCAUAUUUUAUCCAUACAUGCACUCAAACUACACAAACCAUUGUGGCUAUGGCUACAUAGGCUUUCAAAGAUGGGAAUUAAUAAUUUCUGGUGGGCAACUAAUAGUUCCAUGGGUAAAAACUUUCUGGAUCUAGUACAUUGUCAAUGUCUGAAAAAAGUUAGUAAGGACUUUGAAAGUGUGUUCUUGAUAUAUGAAACUAUAUGUGGGUAUGGAUAGAUAGUCUAAGAAACUUUUUUGAUUUAAGUUCUAAUUUUGAAGUCUUUGACAAUACAAUCACAUUAAGGUAAUCAAAUCAUAUCCAGAAAUUUACCAAUCAUACAAGAAAACAAACAUAGGCAGAAAGCCCUUUUGAAGCAUUCUUUUCUUUGGGAUAAAAAUGAUGGGACUAAUUGGCUGCAAUGAACUUCACUAGUUGAAGAAUAGUCAUAAAGUUUUAUAGACCUUGAGAGACACUUCUUGAGGGACCUAACUAUUAUCCGCAAUUGCAAUAUCUCCCAUGUUUGCCAAGUAUAAUCCACAAUCGCCCUUAGUAAGUCUACUCCGACCCCUCUCUUUUGGGGCAUUCAUCCAACUCCCUUCUUGACCCGCCAAGACUUUAUCUUUCAUAAUGUAGGUCAAUUCAUAAACCACCUUGAUAUUGAGAUAUUUAUGGGUUUUCAACUUAAGAUGAUGACAUUAAGAUUUGAGCGAAAAAUCUUUAUCUUUAAAACACAACUACCUUGAGGGUUUUCUUCUGAAAAGUUUACUUAUACCAAGAAAGAUCCAUUAGUUCAACCAGCUGUCUAAGUGUAAAAAAAGAUAGCAACUUGGGCCAAUUAAAAGAAGUUCAAAUUUAAAGCAUAUGAGUAUCAACCGAUGACCCAAAAAUGCCCCCAAGUCACAGCUUUUGAUUGCUUGAUUAGAAUUGAACUACUAACUCCUUUAUAUAUAUAACCCUCUUUUAAUUUUUGAAAAUACUCAAGACCAGUUUUUUAUUAAAUGCCAGCAAUCAUAAAAUGGUCCUAUCUCCUCACAUAUAUACCUAAAUCACAGACCUUCUCCAAAGUGCCUCGAUGCAACUCUGUCUUUACCAACUACCAAGCUCUGGGAAGUAUGUAAACUUGGACUCUUGGCUUGGAUGUGACUUGACUUCCUGGAACCUGUUUGACCUACAGAAACAAGCUUUAAACCAUGGGCCUAAAUAUCCUGGUUCCAACCCAUAACAUCUUAUCAUUACAUAAUAUGAACGACUCAUGAUCCUCCUUUGGAGAUGCUCAAUAUGUAGUAUGAAAUUUUGAAUUCAUGUUAAAACAUGUUUAAAUGUGUUUUUUGGAAAACCCAUGUAAACAUUUUUGACUGAGAGCUAAAAGUUGAGAGAAGUGUGAAUUCUAUUUUCACUAGUAUGCAGGGAUUCUUGACAAAAUAGGUUCAUGGGUACCCUAGGAAAAAUGUUGCCAAUUUUCCUCUUGUUAAACAAUAUUCACAAAGAACAAGCAUUUUUUUUUACAUAGUUUACAAAGGCAAUGUUCAUUACAAUUGUAUGUUUGAAAAUAUCAUGAAUCCAAAAACCACCUAGGAUAAACCCAAAAAUUCGAAGUUUGUACCAUCUGAAAGGAUGAAUAAAUGCACCUCUCAUAGCUAAAGGAAAACAAACACAGACACAAACAAAAACAAAAAUACAAGCUUAAUCAAGCAAUCAAGCAUUAACAGCUCAAUCAAGCAAUCGACCAAAAGAUCAACAUUCCAAUUGUCUAUAGGCAUGCACCAUGUCAAUAUUGGAAAGAAAUUGUAGGCAUAUAUAAUUUUAAGUACAAUGAUAGAAAAAGCUUAAAACAACAACUGAAAAAACCUAUAGUUAAAGCAUUAAAAUUUCAAAAUGGAUUAGAUAGAACACAAAAACUUGUCAUGAAAACAGAUUACAGUCCUGUAUUUUAAUAGCUAAGACAUAAAAUCCAAGCUGUGUGUAACAUACAGCUAAAUUUUCUGGAAAAAAUGUUCACUCUGUCUAGGGGUCUAGAUAUAAGUUAUAACCCAUCAAUAACUUUCUUUAAUGGAGAGGCUCAGCAUGAAUAAGUUAAAAGGGUCUCACCAUGUUGACAAUAACUUGCAUAAACAGCAUUGUUUACAACACCAUAUUGAUCCAAUUCAUAAUCCCGGACUUUGAGCUCAACAUCAAGGAACCCACUCAUUCUGCCAAAAGGAAAAAAGAAACGCCCAUACCCCUGUCAAUUUUUCUUUGCUUUGGCCACACCAAAAACACAUGUUUCAAACUCAUGUAAUUUUAAUAUGUGACCUUAGAAUUCACAAACCAACAAAUUUGUUCAAGAGUUUCAAAUUCAUGUAAUUUUAAUAUGCGACCUUAGAAUUCACAAACCAAUAAAUUUGUUCAAGAGUCCACUAAGACCCUGCGAAAUUUUGAUUAGAUAUGAAUCAAAAGCUUUCCAAUUUUUCAAUUUGAUGAUCUUUACCCUAAAAAGGUGGCGAAAUAAAAGGUAAUAAAAAUUCAUACAAAUGUGGAUAUCACCCAAAACCAUGAACGAAUAAGCACACAUCCCCAAUGAAAUGUUACCACAUAUGGUGUCUUAGGUACAAUAUAAAACUCAGUAAUUAGUAAUUACUGAAUCUACAAUCUGAAAGUUUAGUAUAUAAGUAAGAAACAUGCCAAGAGUUAUAAUUUUAUAUCCAGGAGAAAGAAUUGAAAGCACUAAGGUUUGAUGGAAGAAAAAAGAACGGGAAGAAUCAAUGCGAGUACCCUUUUCCGCCUUUGAAAUCAAAAGCGAGUCCACUGGCGCUCCUCACGGCGGGGACUGAUCGGAGUCGUGGGGAGCGACAAUUGCUAGGAGGCUGAGGUGCCGGGAGAAGAAGUGGUGGACGAUAGAGACGGAGGCCCCUUGUGUGGGCACGUGAGGCGGGAACCGCCAUGUGCGUGGGGGAGAGGAGAGCCUGCAACAUGGAUUCUCAGAGUUGUUGGGGGGAGGGAGAGAAAUUAGUUGGAGCCGUUGGGCAUUUGUUGGCGUUACAAUUCAUGAAAGGGAGAAGGCCUGCGCCUCCCUUCUGCUUGUUCUCUGCUCUCACGGUCUCACCCUUCCCUCCGAUUCCUAAUCCUGCGGUUCUUAUGAAAAAGCGUUUGGUUCUCAAACGUGUUUUUUGUUUUUUCAGGCCCUUUAAUUUUAAAAGAAAGGGAGAGGUGGGCCUGGUCGGGUAGCUCCACUUCGGGUUGCCCAUGGGCCUUUGAUUAGGAAUCCUAGGCUGAACCCAUGCAUUCCCGAUCGAGUUUUAGGCCUUGAAUCCCAAUUUACAUCCUCCCAUGUGAUUUUGAUUUUUCUAUAUGUUAAUGAUUGUGAGAGUUGCUUUAGGGUUUGUUUAUAAGUUUGAACCAAAAUAAAUAAAAGAUGAAAAUAAAAUUUGAAGAAAUAAAAAAUAAAAAAUAAAUAAAAACUCAAAAUUUCCUCACAUUUUUCUUUAAAUUUUACAUUUUUUUCAAAAUAAUUUGUUUUUUUUUGGGGGGGUUUGCUUCUAUUCUCUAUUAAAACAAGGUGAAUGGAUUGAUUUCUCUAUUUCCUUUCUAAAAACCUAAAAGUUUUCAAAUUUAUGGAUAUGAUUUUAUGGAAAAAUAGACUUAAUAGGAUGUUUGAUAAAGUUAAUUUUUAAUGUUUAAUGACUUAAAAUAAAUUAUAUUUAAAUUAUUUAUUUAUGUCCUGAUAGGAUUUUUCUUGCCAACUGUUCAUAUGAUAGUGGGUAUUAAAUAUCAAGGAUCUCCCACCUAUUCUUGGGGACCCUGAAUUUGCCCCUCUUUUAGUUAUGGAUAUCCCAUUCUCCAACCAAAAUCAUUAAACAAUUGAACUUAUGUGACCAAAAAAAAAAAUCCGAGGACAAUGGCCCUAUCUAUCUAUGGAGUCUGGUGACCAAGUACUGAUGGACCCAAGGCUUUCUAGUGCCUCCUUCUUGGUGCAUGCAUGCUUCUUUGCCUAGAAAAGGUCCAAAAGCAGUCAGCUGCUGUUUAGGUUCCUUCUUCCUAGUGUCACAUUAUCUGAGAUAUUAUAUAUCGUAAGCGAGAAUUGCUAGGCCCAGGAGACCGCACGCUCACAAAUAUGCCUGGGGCUGUAUAGUGUAUUGGCUUUCAAAGGGGCUGGAGAAGGAGAACCCACAUGACCCAUUACCCAUUCUCUUCUGGGAAUUGAACUGGCCCUAUUCAACCUGUCUUGUUCUUUGGGGUCUAUCCCACUUCCAUAAAGAUGCAUUGUACCCGCCUCCACCGUCUUUCUAACAACCACUUCUCGAUCAUUCAUUAAAUGAAUUUCCAACACCAAGACUCUCCCUUUUGAUCAAUUUGUGGACCCAAUGUGUUAUUUUCAUUAUCAUCAUUCUCACUGUAGAUGAAAGGCAUGGAGCUUUGAUCUUUCAAUGAUAUAAAGGUCGGUUUACCUUCCACGGAUUCCGGUGUUCAAUUUUGAUGCCUUUCAGUUCAAAUCGUUAUCCCCAUCUACCCCUGUAACUGGACAAAUCCAAUCUUCAGGAUGUGGUUGCCAAUAAUUUGCUUGCAUUGUUGAACUUCAAUUAUUAUGAACAGAUUGGCAAUCAAAUCGACAUCUUCUUUUUGCUUUGGUUCAUUGUAAUUAUAGUACAAUAUCCGUACAACAAACUGAAUUCAAAUAAAGGAGGAAUUACUAAUUACCAAGCAGAAUAAGCUUAAAAUCCUUUUGGUUACUGAUGUUUAUUCAGUUGCCCCAUGUGCGUGGGCAAUACUGUGGCUCUGUGCACUUCUGAAAAGUAGGAUUCACAUCUACAGACAUUCUAGUCCAAGAUCACAAAUUACAAGUAAAAGAGUAUUUCAACCGAUAACUCCGCAUUAUAAAAAAUAAGCAUGUUCUUUUCUUUACGAUUAGUCCAAAGGAUGUACAAAGGGAUAACCUUUCAAGGCUUUUUGCAACCUUUACCCAAAAAAUAUCCAUGUCACCUAACAAGCAUCUCUUUAACUAAAAAAUGGGAGAAUCAAAGACAUACCAAAGAGAGUAAAAAACAAGUGUCAAAGAGACCUUGUCCUUGCACAAUUGAGAAAAAUAUGAUCAAAGAUUUCUUCUUCAGAAUGAAAGAAAAAAAAAAUGUAUUUGCCAAAUAAAACCCCCUCCUUUGGACAUGAUCCAAAGUUAAAAGGUUUUCCCCCAAUUCGCCUCCUAUAAGUGAAAAAAAAAACCACUUUAGGUGGCAUACAAGAACUCUAAAUGAUAUUCCACAGAAACAGUAAAAGGUCACCGAGCACUAAAACGAAAUAGAGGGAUUUGACCGAAAAACUUUCCACUUUUCAAAACCGUUCAAAUCAUCCUAUUUUCUUCAUCCCUAUACACCCCUUUUGCUUGAAGAAUCAGUAGAAAGCUCCAGGGUAGGUACUAACAUGGUAUUAAGCUGGUGAUUCCGUACCCCAGGGUAUGUACUAAAUCACAAAUCUAAAAUCUACAAAUCAUAAAUUCAGCCUGGGGUUCCUAAGAUUACCCAUUGACCCACUAUUUUAAUUUUUAAAAAAACAUGGGUACUUUAGAAACCAGAGAGGAUAUCAACUUGGACCAUAGUUAUUCACCUCACAAAGUAAAACAACUUACAUGCCAUUUAAAAAUUCAGUCUCAAAAGAAUACACAUGAAAAGAGGUGAUUCAUAGGAACAUAUUUGAAGUUGAUAAUUACAUAAACAUUUUUUUUUCUUUCCCAAAAGAGACUAUCACAUGGCAUUCGGAGAAGAUGGAUAUGAAUGUCUCACUCCGGUUUCCGCACAACAAGGACUGGGCACUUAGCAUUAUGCAUGCAGUAAUUGCUAACACUUCCAAGAAAAGCCCUGUUCCAGCAAAAUUUCAUUACUGUUAAAACAUGCAACAAGAAGCCGUACGUCAAGUGAAAAACCUGGGGAGGUAGUGAGUUACAUCAUGGAAAAACCAUAUUACUGAGACAUGCAGCAGUGAUUCAAAAAUUGGGAAAAGCGAACAUGGAUAUUAAAAGAACGCAUUGCCAAGCGAAAUGCAUAAUUCACGCCUCCUGGAACUAAAUAAGGACUCUAAUUCUGGGACUUACCUCCCAAAAGCACCACGACCAUGGCUGCCUAGAACAAGGAACUGGAUGUUCAACUUUUCUACUGCCUUACAUAUAGCCUCUUUAGGAUCUCCAACUUCUGUAAUUGUCUCUGCAACAAUCUGUGGAUGGAAAACUACGAAUUCAGCUGCAUAUACAAAUUCAGGGCCCAAAAAGAAACUUAGUUUUCCCGAUUUUGAACAUGUAUUGCAGUUGGAUUCUAUUCUUUCCAACCCCACUAGAAAUAAUCAUUUGAACCCACAAUAUUCUGAAAUAUCUGGGUGCCUAGAAGAAGUUAAGAACUGAUUGUAGCAUGGCACCUAUGGUGUAACUGCCAAAAGAAAAAGUUUAAGAAGCCAUACCCCACACUGAGCACAUAUUUCCUUAGCUCGCUCCAGAAGAGCGAAUGCAACCUUCUUUUGCCUUUCCUGGACUUCUGUAAUCAGAUCUGGUGCUGUAGACAGAAAUGUGAAAUGUUACACUUACACUCCUCCAAAACUUCCAACUUCAAUUCAACAAAUUGCUUUUAACCUUAACAGAGAAAUGCAAAAGAAACAAUUUGCCUACAUAUAAAACCAAUUUCAGGAGCUUUAAAUCAGUUCAUAAAUUAACCAAUUCAGACCACUACUGCAUCAAAGGAUUUUGCAGAGAUGGGGUUCUUUUUUUCUUUUUGGUUUUUACCAUUGAUCUGAUUCCUGGAAAAUGAGGAAAACAGAUAGCGGGUUCGUGGGUAUGUGACUGUGAUUAGGUCCAAUUGAUUUCUUUCAGUGAAGAGAAAGAAAAAAAAUAUAAUUAAAGAAAAGAAAAGCAAACAGAAAAUCGAAGAUGAGAAAAAGCAAAUAGAGACGUACGAGCAACGCCCAGAGUGGAAGCGUGGAUAUAGGUGAAAUCAGAAAGGGACUGUACAGUGAAGACGAUGAGUUGGAAGUUGGAGAGGGAAUCGCGAAGAUUUUCAAGAGCCCAAUUGAGGGCGUGGUGACUGUACUCGCUUUCAUCUAUGCACACCAUCAUUUUCUUCUUGUCGUCGCUCUUACUCUUUUCCCCAACUCCCUCCAUUUCUACAGC
rnacentral:lncRNA from 1 species